UCUGGUGACUAUAGCAAAGGUAUUAAACCCGAUCCCAUCCCGAACUCGGCCGUUAAAACCUUUAGCGCCGAUGGUACUCCGUCUUAAGGCGUGGAAGAGUAGGACAUCGCCAGAC
rfam:Rhizobiales bacterium TMED25 MHASMcontig_921279, whole genome shotgun sequence.